rnacentral:rRNA from 1 species
AUUGAACGCUGGCGGCAUGCUUUACACAUGCAAGUCGAACGGCAGCGCGGGCUUUGGCCUGGCGGCGAGUGGCGAACGGGUGAGUAAUGCAUCGGAACGUGCCCAGUAGUGGGGGAUAGCCCGGCGAAAGCCGGAUUAAUACCGCAUACGACCUGAGGGUGAAAGCGGGGGACCGAAAGGCCUCGCGCUAUUGGAGCGGCCGAUGUCGGAUUAGCUAGUUGGUGGGGUAAAGGCUUACCAAGGCGACGAUCCGUAGCUGGUCUGAGAGGACGACCAGCCACACUGGGACUGAGACACGGCCCAGACUCCUACGGGAGGCAGCAGUGGGGAAUUUUGGACAAUGGGGGCAACCCUGAUCCAGCCAUGCCGCGUGCGAGAAGAAGGCCUUCGGGUUGUAAACCGCUUUUGUUCGGGAAGAAAUCCUCUGGGCUAAUACCCCGGGGGGAUGACGGUACCGGAAGAAUAAGCACCGGCUAACUACGU